rnacentral:pre_miRNA from 1 species
UAUCAAAAAUUUCAUUCAUUUUUACUAUUAAAAAUUGGUGUAGCUAAUGGAAUAACCAGACAAUUAAACGUGGCGCUAAUAUUACGUUUACCUCAUGUUGGCGUACAAGAACUAAUUCGUAACAGUAGAAAUGGUUAAAAUUUUUAAUA